rnacentral:rRNA from 1 species
AUGCAAGAAACGGGAGAGAGCACCAACAUUCAAGGCAAACAAACACAACAACACAGCGGAAUGGAACAAGCAAAAGUUGUUCUUCCAACAACAGACAGCCUAACCGCCGUAGACCAAGCCAAAAAACCUUCGCUGUCCGGGCAAGAAAUAACAGAGAUGGCAACGUCGACGCAAGGGAUCAAAAAGCCACAAGACAAAAACGACAACACCACGGAUGAACAAAACAAAAAAGAUAUAGAGGAGGUCCAAAAAGCUCAACUCACCGAAGAAAAGGUCGAAGAGGCAGCACGGGACACACACGCACACACAAGCAAAGAAGCAAAGGGCCACAGUGCAUUGGAAAACCAUGCAACAAACAUUCCAGAAGAGAAUCAGACAGCAACAAGAAAAAGGCCGCACCAUCAGACAAGGAACAUUGUGCUGUAA